GCUGGGUGUGGUGGCAUGCAUCUGGAGUCACAGCUACUUGGAGGCUGAGAUGAAUCACCUGAGCCCAGGAGUUCCAGGCUAUAGGAUGCUACACCAAUCGGGUGUCUGCAGUAAGUUUGGUAUCAUAUAGUGGCCUCCCGGGUAUGGGGAAAUCACCAGGUUUUCUAAGGUGGGGUGAACCAGUCAAUGUCAGAAAUGAAGCAAGUCAAAACUGCUGCGCAGAUCAGUAGUGGGAUUAUACCUGUGAAUAGCCCCUGCAAUCCAGCCUGAGUAACACAGCAAGACCCUUUCUCA
ensembl:misc_RNA Metazoa_SRP Metazoan signal recognition particle RNA